rnacentral:lncRNA from 1 species
ACAGAAUUGCACGCUAAUCAAUGUGCAAAUUUAAUCCUAGUACGCUUUAACUCAAUCAUGAACAUAUGUAGGAGUAUAUUGGUCAGUCUUGUCUACACUGGAAACCGUUUUAAUCCAACAGCAUCAUGAUUCACGUAAAAUUACUCAAGCAAUAUGAAGUAUGGCCCUUUCUACUUUAAUGAGGAGCACAUAAAACUCUGGCCUGUACACUUCUGCAAACUUCUUGCUUGAGUUUAUUAA